rnacentral:rRNA from 1 species
UGGGGAAUAUUGGACAAUGGGCGCAAGCCUGAUCCAGCAAUGCCGCGUGUGUGAAGAAGGCCUUCGGGUUGUAAAGCACUUUUAUCGGGAGCGAAAAGCGCCAGGCUAAUACCCGGGCGUCAUGACGGUACCUGAUGAAUAAGCACCGGCUAACUUCGUGCCAGCAGCCGCGGUAAUACGAAGGGUGCAAGCGUUAAUCGGAAUUACUGGGCGUAAAGCGUGCGUAGGUGGUCUUUUAAGUCCGUUGUGAAAGCCCUGGGCUCAACCUGGGAAUGGCAGUGGAUACUGGAAGGCUGGAGUACGGUAGAGGAGGGUGGAAUUCCCGGUGUAGCGGUGAAAUGCGUAGAGAUCGGGAGGAACAUCAGUGGCGAAGGCGGCCCUCUGGACCAGUACUGACGCUGAGGCACGAAAGCGUGGGGAGCAAACAGGAUUAGAUACCC